rnacentral:misc_RNA from 1 species
GUAGGUGAACCUGCGGAGGGAUCAUUAACACGUAUCCAAACGUUUAAACCAAACCCGUGCUCCUUAUGUUCCCAUCUGAUUCAAGUGAUUCCGUAAGCCAUAGAUGGAUUCCUAUAGCAAUCAAAGGCGCAAGUCUUUCUUUCUUAGGUCUGCUUACGAAAUCUGCGAGUACUUCGAUACUCAGCUUGAGUUAGAAUGGCGUAUCCCCUUGAGCCAUCUGGUUAUUAAGCCAAACCGGUUUCGACCCGGA